UACGUAGGGGGCAAGCGUUGUCCGGAAUCAUUGGGCGUAAAGCGCGUGUAGGCGGCCCGGUAAGUCCGCUGUGAAAGUCGGGGGCUCAACCCUCGAAUGCCGGUGGAUACUGUCGGGCUAGAGUGCGGGAGAGGCGAGUGGAAUUCCAGGUGUAGCGGUGAAAUGCGCAGAUAUCAGGAGGAACACCGGCGGCGAAGGCGGCCAACUGGACGAUUACUGACGUGAGACACGAAAGCGUGGGGAGCAAACAGG
rnacentral:rRNA from 1 species